AACAAACUCAUCGGAUAAGUCGGUUGUCAUGUGCAUUACGUUUUGACCUUUGAUUAUUUAAUAUCCUUGAACUAUCAAUAGUUUUUUUAAAAUCCUUCUUCAAACUUGUUUCCGUUUCGGCGGAAACCCACCGCCUACGAGCACCUUUGCCCAACCGAACUCCAGCCAUACACCACUGUAACCAUCGCCAUGCUUUGAUUAUACUCGUCGCAGCCGUGAAGCGUCGCUACCUUGGUGAAUAUCGUCGUCGUACAACUACCGUAGUCGCCGCCACCAAACUACCCGCCACUCGUAUUCCGUACGGUUCAGUCUGAUUCACGCCACUGGGAGUUACUCGUGUUUCACCGAUCUUGCCUCACUUUCGGAUAUGUUUCUGUUCGACUAUUAAGGCUCUCGUAUUAUUGAGGACGACUUGUUUUGUUUUGCGUUUACCUUGCUUGGCUAAAUUAAGGUAAUUUGGGAAACGUGGGGAAUACGUGAAGAGUGUCGUGAAGAUAAAGAUGUAUUUUUAUUUCGGUAAUGUAAUGAAAAUAUAAUUAGGAUCUUUCGUUUUCAACGUUAUGGAUUGGUUUUAGUUUUGAUAUCUGUAUGAGUGACAUGCCAGCCUGUUCCGGGUUGGGGUGUUACAGUUUGUGUAAUUUAGUUAAGGCAACACAA